GACGAACGCUGGCGGCGUGCUUAACACAUGCAAGUCGAGCGGUAAGGCCCUUUCGGGGGUACACGAGCGGCGAACGGGUGAGUAACACGUGGGUGACCUGCCCUCAGCUCUGGGAUAAGCCUGGGAAACCGGGUCUAAUACCGGAUAUGACCUCAUGACGCAUGUUGUGGGGUGGAAAGCCUUGUGCGGCUGAGGAUGGGCCCGCGGCCUAUCAGCUUGUUGGUGGGGUGAUGGCCUACCAAGGCGACGACGGGUAGCCGGCCUGAGAGGGCGACCGGCCACACUGGGACUGAGACACGGCCCAGACUCCUACGGGAGGCAGCAGUGGGGAAUCUUGCGCAAUGGGCGAAAGCCUGACGCAGCGACGCCGCGUGAGGGAUGACGGCCUGGUGUAAC
rnacentral:rRNA from 1 species